GGUAGCUUGCUACCUGCCGGCGAGUGGCGAACGGGUGAGUAAUACAUCGGAACGUGCCCUGUAGUGGGGGAUAACUAGUCGAAAGACUAGCUAAUACCGCAUACGACCUGAGGGUGAAAGUGGGGGACCGCAAGGCCUCAUGCUAUAGGAGCGGCCGAUGUCUGAUUAGCUAGUUGGUGGGGUAAAGGCCCACCAAGGCGACGAUCAGUAGCUGGUCUGAGAGGACGAUCAGCCACACUGGGACUGAGACACGGCCCAGACUCCUACGGGAGGCAGCAGUGGGACCACA
rnacentral:rRNA from 1 species